AACGAACGCUGGCGGCAUGCCUAACACAUGCAAGUCGAACGAAGUCUUCGGACUUAGUGGCGCACGGGUGCGUAACGCGUGGGAAUCUGCCCUUGGGUGCGGAAUAACUUCUCGAAAGGGAUGCUAAUACCGCAUAAUGUCGUAAGACCAAAGAUUUAUCGCCCAAGGAUGAGCCCGCGUAAGAUUAGCUAGUUGGUGGGUAAAAGCCUACCAAGGCGACGAUCUUUAGCUGGUCUGAGAGGAUGAUCAGCCACACUGGGACUGAGACACGGCCCAGACUCCUACGGGAGGCAACAGUGGGGGAAUAUUGGACAAUGGGCGAAAGCCUGAUCCAGCAAUGCCGCGUGAGUGAUGAAGGCCCUAGGGUUGUAAAGCUCUUUACCAGGGAUGAUAAUGACAGUACCUGGAGAAUAAGCUCCGGCUAACUCCGUGCCAGCAGCCGCGGUAAU
rnacentral:rRNA from 1 species